UCCGGAGGAUGAAGAAAGUAGAACCUGUUCAGUGCUUGCGGCUCUACUGAUACUCUCCUCCUAUAGAAACUGGGCCAAGAGAACAACCCCACUUCUAGUGAAAGCCGGGGGUUCACUGUGCAGCCCAACAAUU